rnacentral:lncRNA from 10 species
GCGAGUCCCUGCCCGCCCCCUCCUGCUCGCGCCGGGCGGGGGAGCGAGAGGCGCGGGGACUGGCUGUGAUGCCACGAGAAUACUCAGAUAGCACACGGACAGGCCCACAUGGCAAUGAAUUGCAACUUGCCAGCAACCAUGUGGGUUAGCUUGAAGUGAAUUCUCUAGUCCUGUGUCUUCAGGUGACUGUAGCCCUGGCUGACCAUGUGACUGAACCUGAGGAGAAGCUGAGCCAAAGGCACACAGAUAAGCUGCACCUGGAUUCCUGACUACAGAAACUGUGAAGUAAUAAAUGUUUGCUGUUCAAAGCCAAGGGUUGGCAAAAUAUAUUCCACUUGUUUCUGUAAAUAAAGUUUUACUGGAACACGGUAAUGUUCACUAAUGUGCCUAUUGUUAUGGCUGCUUUCAUACUUCAACAGUAGUAGCUAUUGAGUAGUUGCAGCAAAAGACUAUAUGUCCACAGGACUAAAAUAUUUACUAUGUGGCCCUU